AGUGAACGCUGGCGGUAGGCCUAACACAUGCAAGUCGAACGGCAGCACAGUAAGAGCUUGCUCUUACGGGUGGCGAGUGGCGGACGGGUGAGGAAUACAUCGGAAUCUACUUUUUCGUGGGGGAUAACGUAGGGAAACUUACGCUAAUACCGCAUACGACCUACGGGUGAAAGCAGGGGAUCUUCGGACCUUGCGCGAUUGAAUGAGCCGAUGUCGGAUUAGCUAGUUGGCGGGGUAAAGGCCCACCAAGGCGACGAUCCGUAGCUGGUCUGAGAGGAUGAUCGGCCACACUAGAACUGAGACACGGUCCAGACUCCUACGGGAGGCAGCAGUGGGGAAUAUUAGACAAUGGGCGCAAGCCUGAUCCAGCCAUACCGCGUGGGUGAAGAAGGCCUUCGGGUUGUAAAGCUCUUUUGUUGGGAAAGAAAAGCAGCAGGUUAAUACCCCGCUGUUCUGACGGUACCCAAAGAAUAAGCACCGGCUAACUUCGUG
rnacentral:rRNA from 1 species